rnacentral:lncRNA from 1 species
CUUCCGGAAUGGGGAACGUCAACUGUAUGUUUGCUACUUUAACAGGAAGGGAAGAAAAAAGGAAGAACCCUGUGAUCAUAUCAGUCUAAGGAAUAGAGUAAGCACAGUGAAAACAAAUAGGAAAUAUAAGGAGUACACUCGCUGAAAUAGGAGCUAGGAGAAAUCAUCUAUUUCCAAAUGGGAGAUCAGCGUGGAUUAAAAAGCACAGCUUUGUAUCCUUAGAGUGAUUUCAUGAAAGGCAGAGAUUAAAGCGAAACAAAACAGGUGGGGGCAAUGUUGUUAGAUAAAUAGACAUUUCAGGAAGCUUGAGAUUGUUCAAGUGUAACAGGGCAAACAGGGAUUUUAUAUAACAACUUGCAGUUUAAAUAAGAAAUACCGGUAGUCAAACUUGGUCCACGUUUAGCCAACUGUAAAAUAAAGCAAAAGUCUUCCAAAACACAAGCAAAACCUGUGAUUGUUGAAAAUAACGCUUAAAUACACCUAGAGAAUAGCCUGAGAAGGUUGAAGUAUUUUGAAGGUGGACAUGCUUCUUCUAAUACAGGUAAUAUCUAAGAAUCACCCAUGUACAAAUCUUUCAGUAAGUUUGUGCUUUGUUCUGUUUGUACUUGUCCUUUCUGAUAAUAUGGUUCUUUGAGCUAUGUGCUUUUAUUCUAGAAUUUUUAAUGUGUUAUGUCCUAUAUGAUUUCCUACUGUAUAUGGUACUAGAGUUAUGAAAAAGAAGAAAAUGAUUUUCUUUAUAACACUGCCUGGCUCCAAUAUCAUGUGGAGUCAGGAGAAAAUGGCCCGAGAAUGCGUGUACUACAAGUCUAUUAGACUUGUUUUGCAAAGGAGAGGAGACAUGAGACAAAAUCAGCUUUAUCCUCAUUUCUUGUAAGGGAAGAGUCUUUACACAAUUGGACGCACUUUGGUUUUUCCUUACUGAGAAGUAUUUUGUAUGAGCCAAAUUAGCAAGGAGUUAGCAUUAAACCACUUAUAGGUGUGUGUGUGCAGUACUGUUCUGAGCAUAUAGUAAAGGAAAUCCGGUCAGCCAACUGCAAAAUGCAGGCUUCACUAAGGGCUUGUUUUUCUUUAGAGGAUGGACUCCCAGAUGGAGAACUCCUGGCUGCCCUCCCAGCAGCUCUGCCUUGCACUGUGGUUAUCAGCUUUUCUCAGAUCAAGAGCAGCCAGGAAAAGCAAGCCGACACCCUCCAAGCUGCACUCUUACUACUGGGAGACAAGCUUGAACCUGAAAUCCCUGAAGGAAGUCCACAGAAGGUAAGAGGAGGUGUUUGGGCUGAUGAGAGGACAGGAAGAGCCAAGACAGCUAACGUAAUUGUGGUAAAACUCUGUCCGGUUGCUAAACCUCCAAGUUUAAACUUCCAACUUUAAAGAGGCAUGGAAGGUAUAGAGCCUCUGAUAACCACCUGUCUUAAAUCCAAAUUAAUCUGACCUUGUCAAUCCCCAUGUAACACUCCAAUCCUGCCUGGGACUGGAGAUUAUCAUUCUGUACAGGAUUUGAGAGCCAUUAACCCGAUUGUAGUGGAUAUGCAUUCAACGGUGCCAAAUCUUUAUACAACUUUAUCUGGAGACUUUUGCUUGUUUAAAUUCUGGCCUUGCAAGAUGACUUUUACUGCAUAGCCCUAACUCCUGAGUCCCAGGAACUGUUUGCCUUUGAAUGGGAUGGUCCAGGGACUAAUGUAAAACAGCAAUAUUGUUGGAUGGUAUCCCACAGGCAUUAAGAACACUCCCACCAUCUUCAGGGAAGCGCUAGCCAAGGAUCUCCAGUUAAAUGAGGUAAUUUUACUCCAAUAUGUGGAUGGUAUACUAAUUACUAGUAAAACUAAGGAAACUUCAGACCAAAAUACAAUCCUCACUUUAAAUAUUUUUGCAGAUGGGGGAUAUAACGUCCAAGGGGAAAGUGCAGAUUCUCAACUAUUUGUAAAACAGCUAGGAUUUGAAUUAUCAAAAGGACAAAGAAACUUAUUGCCAGAUUGAAGGGAAGCAUUAGCUAGGGUAGUAGUACCCACCACCAGAAGGCAAUUGCAAGAAUUCUAAGGAAUGGCUGGGUUUUGCCGUAUUUGGAUUCCAAACUUUGAACUCAUAGCCAAAUUCCUAUAUGAGGCUCUUAAAGGAAAUGACAGUGGUCAUUAAGCUGGGCUGUGGAAUGCCCUAAGAUGUUCUAUACCAUAUAAAUAAUUGAAGUCUAUUCUAGUAGACCUGACCUGACUGAUCUGCCUUUAUAAAACCAAGUAUGGAAAUGUUUAGAAAUGGGAGCAGCUUCACGGACUGGGGGCUUAAAAGGCUGUAUAUGCAAUAGUAGUUUGUCAGAGAGUCCUAGAAGUGGAAGCCCUCUUCCAGAUACAUCUGCCCAGAAGGCAAGCCUCAUAGUCCUCAUGAGAGCCCUGCACCUUAGACGUAAGAAAAAAUUAACCAUUUAUAUUAUUGAUUCUAAGUAUGCCUUCUCUGUUGUGCAUGUACCUGGGGACAUAUGGAAAGAGAGAGGUCUGCUGACAUCAAGAAGGAAAGAAAUUAAACAGAGAAGAGAUACUGGCCUUUAUAUUUUCUGUUAUAAUGCUGAAUGAAAAAGUAGCCAUAGUAUAUUGCCUAGGCCACCAAAAGAUUGAUAGUUAUAUAGCUAAAGGAAAUAAUUUGGCUGAUCAGGCUACAAAACAGGCAGCUGGAACCAAGAACCCAGAUUCUAAGGCCCUCACACUCAUUCCAAGUGUGGACCUAUCCUUGUUUAAGCCUCAAUAUUUGGAAAUGAUCUAGGGAAAGCAAACAAAUGGGGAUUUCAUGAUGAUUCUCAAGACUUAGAUGGUGACUGAUAUCAAAAAAUUAAAAAGUCGGAGUUCCCGUCGUGACUCAGUGGAAACAAUCUGCCUAGCAUCCAUGAGGAUGCAGGUUCGAUCCCUGGCCUCCCUCAGUGGGUCAAGGAUCUAGCAUUGCCAUGAACUGUGGUGUAGGUUGUGGAUGCAGCUUGGGUCUCAUGUUGCUAUGGCUGUGUCAUAGGCCAGCAGCUACAACUCCAAUGCGACCCCUAGUCUGGGAACUUCAUAUGCCACAAGUGUGGCCCUAAGACAAAAAUAAAUAAAUAAAAAUUUUAAAUAAAAUAAAAAAGGUUGGAUCGAUAGUAAAUAGGGAGUCAUGUUUACACUUUUACUGCUAUUCCAAGAGCCAUGGGAGAUCAUAUAUAUUUGCUCAUAUUUGUGGACAUCUCACAGGAUGGGUCAAAGCAUUUCUAUGCUGAACAGAGAAAGCUUCCAAGGUAACAAAGGCCUUACUAAAAGGAAUGGUCUCUUCUUUUGGGUUGCCUCUUUCAAUUCAAAGUGAAGAAACUUUCAUUGCCAAGAUAACUCAAAGAGUAUCUUUGACCCUUGGAAUACCUUGAAAGUUAUGUGCUUCAUGGAGACCUCAGUCUUCAGAAAAGACUGCAAAGAUUAAUCAUACCUUAAAAAAGACAAUUGCCUAACUAUGUCAAGAAACCAACUUAACCUGGGAUAAGGUCUGACCAGUUGACCAGCUUAGGGUAAGAGUAGCCCUCAGAAGCUAGUUCCAGUUGAGCCCUUAUGAAAUGUCAUAUGGAAGACCCUUCCUUAAGACUUAAGUAUUAUUUCAGUCUUGAAAAUUAUCAUAUGGUAAAAGAAUUAGAUACCAUGACACGUUUUCCUGGAUUCCCAAAGGAAUAAGGUCUGUUUUUGAAGCAGUGUUAGAGUCAUAGUUCUGUGUAUCUUAUGGUUAAUCCUUUCACUCAUCAAAUUUUAUACUUAUUGUCUAUCUUGUAUAUUUAAAAAGGCCAAGGUGGAGACCUGCGGCUCAGCUCUGAUCCUUGGCCCAGGAACUCCAUAUGCCAAAGGGCAGCCAAAAAAGUAAAAUAAAAUAAAAAAUCCAGUGUUCCCUGGCCCCAGAACUUCACACGCCAAGGGAGCCGUAAGAGAACGGUUCUAAGAAAAAGGGAGUGGACAGCAGUGUCGGAUGGAACUGAGAGGUCAAGCAAUGGACCGACCCAUUGUCUCCUGGAUUUGACAAAGUAUUCUUUGGGCACUUUAGUGAGAGCCAUUUUGGUGAAAUAGUGGGGUGGAAAUUAAAUGGAAGUGGAUAGUGAGUAGGAAGUUAGUGUAAACAUCCUCAAGAAGUUUAGCGGGGAAGGGAAGGUGAACAGUACAAUAUCUGGAGGCAUUUGAUUCAGGAAGUUAAAGGAGAACUGUCUUUUGAAGAUGGGAAAAGUUUGUAUGUUUAAGUAUUGAUAGAAAGAAGGCUAUGGAUAGAGAGAAGCUGAAAAUACAAGAGGCAGUGAAGUGCUUAGGAGGGUAGGAAAUGAUGAGAAAAAUAAACUUGUGCCCUUAGUGUCAGAAGGAAAAGGUACAUUCUGUCAGUGUUGACAGGUCGGGAAGAAGAAAGAAUGGGCAUAAAUGGAGUUACAUUUAAGUGUGGGGAUUAAAGGGGUUUAGAAGGGAUGGGUUGUUUUUUUUUUUCCCUGCAAAAUCAGUGUGUGUAUUGGUAGUAGGGCUAGGUUUAGUACUUUUAAAGAUUUGAAGAACAUGGGAAAGCGAAAUGUCCAAAGCAUACGCGGAAGAGAGGGUGAUGACAAGGUAACCAAAGGCUCCCUGGGUACCAUUGAGAACCCAAUAGAGAAGAGCUUUUUUCUAAUUUUAUGGUUCAUCAGAAUCACCCAGGGCAUCUGGAUGUACCAGUAAGUCUUGCUAGCUCUAGGAGGAGUACGGGGUUCUGCAGUUUAAGCAAGCACACAGGUGAUUCUGAUAUAGGAGCUCUUCAGAUCAAACUUUGUGAACUACUGAAACAGACAAGGAGAGGAUUAUUUCAGUCUGGGAGAGUUUUUCAGAAAAUGUGAGAAAAUUGCCAAUAGGGAGGAAGCAGUUAAGACAAAAAGGAAUCACUGAUGGGGCAGUCUCUAAGGAAGUGGGAGAAGUUGUGAUGAAGAAAGGAAGGGAUUCCCUUUGUGGCUAAUGGUAAUGAACUUGACUAGUAUCCAUGAGGAUGCGGUUCAAUCCUUGACUUGCUCAAUGGGUUAAGGAUCCGUGUUGCUGCAAGCUGUGGUGUAGGUCACAGACUCAGCUCGGAUCCAGUGUUGCUAUGGCUGUAAUAUAGGUUGGCAGCUGCAGCUCCAAUUAGAUCCCUAGCCUGGGAACUUCCAUAUGCUGUGGGUACCGCCCCAAAAAGACAAAAAAAAAAAAAAAAAAAAAAAAA